CCUUCAAAGACUGUCAGCAGUCUCUGUCCAACACAAGAAAUCAGUUAGAGAAACAUCAGUCCUCCCUCAAAAGCUGUCAGCAAACCCUGACCCAGAAGAGAGACGAGAUGGAGAAGACUCUUUCCACCCUCAAAAGCAAUCAGCAAACCCUUUCCCAGAAAAGAGACGAGAUAGAGAAGACUCUUUCCUCCUUGAGAACCUGCCAACGAGAAGUAUCCAACCAUCAGUCCUGUAAGUAUAACGUACAUGACAGGAUCUGCAUGUGCACAACUUCAGUACAGUUAGAAAUGCAUUAUGACUAGAAUAGUGAUACUUAAAUGUGAAUGUAGUCCCAGAUCAUAGUUAGUUAGUUCCUCACCUGCAAAUGUCCAGCUCUGAAGAGUGAAAAUCUGCUUAAAACCUGUCAAAUGAAUGGCACUGCUGUAUUUUCUAAUUAUGUAAAUAGUGCUUCUGUGAUGACCCAGACCCGUCCCCUGCUCUGUCACACACUCAAAGACACACACACACUCUGCACUGAUGACUUUGGGCAUGACGAUUUGUCUGUAAAUUCAAAUAUUCUUAACACAUGGAAAAUAGCUCUGGCCCAGCAUAUGGACAAUAUCUUCCACCCACAACAGCUCUGAAAAAGAUGCAAUAAUUGGAUCUGACAACACUGUCCUCGGGUGAUUUACGUUCAAUAUUACAUCUUUUUUUUUCUUGUAUUGGAUUCUCUUGCUCUAGGGUUAUUCUGUCAGUGGUAAAAAGUAGUUUCAACAUUAUUGUUUAUCAUCUAUAUAUUUACUUUAGCAAGAUACUGAUCCUAAACAGGAAUGUGAUUGCACACUUGUUGCAUUCUCAAAAGCAACUUUAUUUGUUAAAAAUGUUUGCUUUUUAUCAU